rnacentral:tRNA from 1 species
GGGUAUAGCUCAGUGGUACAGCAGAUGCUUAGCAUGCAUGAAGUCCUGGGUUCAAUCCCCAGUACCACCA